UUCCCUGUGGCUCAGUUGGUAAAGCAUGGUGUUUGCAACGCCAGGGUUGUGGGUUUGAUUCCCACGGGGGGAC
rnacentral:tRNA from 1 species